UCCUUUAUUGAAUGCAUUUUGUUUAUCAACUUGGGAUAAAUCUUGAAAUAAUUAUUACCUUAACAUUUAUUUCCUGUUUUGGCAAUUAUGAAACUGAAAUGAAAAUUAAUGAAUUUUUUUCCAGGUCGUAUUUGGUGAAUUAUGGAAAUUGGAAGGAGUGGUUGAAAAAGGCACCCUCCAAGGGGAAUGUGAACGAAUAAGUCGUAAAACAGUUGACCCCACAGUGAUGAAGGUAUACGAAGCAGACAAAGACUUUGUAGAUAAUUAUUUGUCUGCAAAUAUCAUUGAAGCACUAAUGAGCUACUUUGGGAUGGAUAACCAGAAUGAUUUCCCGAUGCAAAAUUUGCCACCAACCACUUUUGAUGAUGACAGAGCACGAGAGCACGAGAGAUAUGGACACACAACACAUUGGAACAAUUUGUCGACACAUUUGUUUUUCCAUCCUGGAGUGGUCAUGUUCAGGAUGACCAGGUUUUAGAAGAUACAGCAGAGAUAAAUGAAUACAUAGAACUACUGCUAGAUAAUGGGCAAACAAUAAAUAUUCCUGUGUCAGUAUCUGAGUAUACUUUCAAACAGUUGAAACCUGACAAGGUAAAAGACUAUGCCCAUUACUCAUUGAAAAUAGGACGGACCUUCAGCUUUGUCCUUAACCUAUGUAAGGAACAAGUAAGGGAACAGUUUCUCCCACUCCUUAAAAUGAUGAUGGUGCAGCUCAGAUGCCAUUGUAUAUGUGCUAGGUACCCUAAGGAGAUUUUAUGAAUGCUAGUAAAGCAAUAUUCUGUAAUGGGUUUACAAGAAGCCUGUCAGGUAUUCUCUGCUAGCUUUGUAAACCUUCAUGGAAGGAAAGAUGGCAAUGUUUUAGCUGAUUUAGUACAAGAAUGGAACGUAAAAGAAAACAAAAAACACAUUAAACAUAUGUUUUCAAACAAAGAAAAUUCAACAAUUGAACAUAAGACUUCUGCUCUACCAAGCAUACACAAAAUUGCUAAUAACUUUGACACUGAAGCUGGAACUCUUGUUAGAGCCAAACGACACAAAAAUAAAAGCUAUGAUGAUGAAGUAUGUGUUAUUAUGGAGGAUUUAAGAGAAAUUUUGCCAUUUACUCAUAAAGAAGGAAGAUCAUAUGAAACUUUUAAAAAUAUUCCUAAGUUACACUGUGUGAGAAAGAAGAUGGUUUAAAAUUACAGAAGUGGUUCAAGAGUCACAAAAACUCUUUUCCUUUGUAAACCUAUUGAAAUUAAUCAUUAUAGAUGCUUUUAACACACAUUUAUUAUAUCAGACCUACUCCAGGUAGUAUGAGAGCAUUUCUACAAAUUAUUUGCUAACAAAAUGCCAAAAUGUAGUUUUCGAAAUUUUAUAAAACUAUAAAUUUAGUGCUUAUUUUAAUUUUUUUAAUUCACUAUGUGCGGUUUGUGCUUUGCUCAUUGUUGAAGUCUGUACAUUGGCCACAAAAUGUAGUUUGCAAAGGUGAUUGUCUUGAUAAAUUUGAGAAGAUAUAUACCAAAUGUUUAUUUCUUCUCCGUUCGGAUAUUUGUAUUAUUUACAUCUUUAAUGGAAUAAAUAUUUACAUUACUAAUUGCAUUAAUACAUCAAAUUUAGUUUUUUCAUACUAAAAAGUUAACAGCCGUCAGCAAAUCAAAAUUACAUUGAUCUCAUACUACCUUGAAUACAAAUUUAAAUAAACACUGUAUUUGUACAGUCAUAUCUAGAUACUUUCUACUCUGGAUAUAAUUUAAGAAAUGUUAAGAACAUAACUAUGCUUUAAAUCUGGGAAAUCCUCUGAUACUACCUCAGGGUCUGCAUAACGCUUAUUUACAGAAAUUUUGAGAGCAAGAUUUUCAGACAAACCUGUAUAAAUUUGUGGCAAAACAGAAUUUUGAAUACAAUUUUCAGAUCUGAAAUAGGUUUUCAACAUAUUUAGGGCCACAGCCUUUUGUUU